rnacentral:rRNA from 1 species
GACGAACGCUGGCGGCGUGCCUAAUACAUGCAAGUCGAACGCUGAAGAGAGGAGCUUGCUCUUCUUGGAUGAGUUGCGAACGGGUGAGUAACGCGUAGGUAACCUGCCUGGUAGCGGGGGAUAACUAUUGGAAACGAUAGCUAAUACCGCAUAAAAUUGAUUAUUGCAUGAUAAUUAAUUGAAAGAUGCAACUGCAUCACUACCAGAUGGACCUGCGUUGUAUUAGCUAGUUGGUGAGGUAACGGCGCACCAAGGCGACGAUACAUAGCCGACCUGAGAGGGUGGUCGGCCAAACUGGGACUGAGACACGGCCCAGACUCCUACGGGAGGCAGCAGUAGGGAAUCUUCGGCAAUGGGGGGAACCCUGACCGAGCAACGCCGCGGGAGUGAAGAAGGUUUUCGGAUCGUAAAGCUCUGUUGUAAGAGAAGAACGGGUGUGAGAGUGGAAAGUUCACACUGUGACGGUAUCUUACCAGAAAGGGACGGCUAACUACGUG